AAGAAGAGGAUGCCAGUGAAAUGAGUUUUUCCAAAGGCAACAGCAUGUGCAAAGGCCCCGGGGCAAGUCAGAGUUGGAGAAACCAUGGGAGAACUGUGUGGCUUGGAGUGAGAGAGCAAAACAAAGGGCCAAGCCAGGCUUCAUCUCAUCUAAUCCUCACCACAGUCCAAGGUUCUGAGUUACCCCCACUUUAGAGAUGAGGAAAAGGAGGUCACAGAACUUCAUGGACCUGAGAUUCCAACCAGACUCAAACCAGCCCUUCUGCCUGUUGCUUCCUUUCCCCCUGCCGGCGGGUGGGGGGUAGUAUAUGCAUCACUGUACAUCUUAUGAAAUCCUUUUCUGGACAAGGUAGACACAACUAGCUAAAUAAAAUUUAAAAUGACCUCUA